UACAGAGACUGCAAGCGUUAUUCGGAUUCACUGGGCGUAAAGGGUGCGCAGGCGGCCAUGUGUGUCAGGUGUGAAAGCCCGAGGCUCAACCUCGGAAUUGCGCCUGAAACUACAUGGCUAGAGUACUGGAGAGGGUAGCGGAAUUCAUGGUGUAGCAGUGAAAUGCGUAGAGAUCGGGAGGAACACCUGUGGCGAAGGCGGCCGACUGGGCCGACCCUGACGCUGAGGCGCGAAGGCGUGGGGAGCGAACGGG
rnacentral:rRNA from 1 species